GGUUUUGCUCAAGUAGAGCUUCUCCCAGGAGCACAUGGGCUUAGUGAUCUGCAGCUGUGAAAACCUGUCAGUCGAAAGCUAUGCCACUCCCUUUAACUGACGUCCAGGGAAGCAUUAGAUAUAAUGGUAGGACUUGGUAACCUUAUGGCAUUAGGAGGAAAGAAAGCAUCAAAACUAGCUCUUUUCACAUUUAGGAUUCCAGAAUAAUACUGCUAUUGAAAAACAUUGUGUUGUAGAAGAGGGAAUCAGUUAUUGUGGUAAAAAUCAGAAGAUUCAAUUCCAAAUAAGAUGUGCUCUAGUUUAAACAUAUUAAAAGUUCAUUGCGAGCAAGCCAUCUAAGUGAAGAUAAUUUGUACUUCAUGUGCACAGAAUUUGAAGGAAGAGAAAGAAGAAUACUUUGAAGACACGAAAGGAUAUUGAGAAUGGCAAAAAUAAAACCAAAACAAGAAAUGCAAUAUUAAGGAGAAAGAAAUGUUUUUAAAUAGUCAGCAGAGUCGGCUAACAGAAUUCAAGGAAGAUGAGGACUGAGUAUCAAUCCGUUUUAUUUGGUUAGAAAGAUUUCAUUUUAAAAAAGAAGUUUCACUGCAGAAGAGGAUUAGUGAUUGAAGACUCACCAAAAAAUCCAAGGAAUACGGGAUGAAUAACACUAGAAUGGGUCAAAGUAAAGAAAAACUGGUUUAGGAACCUGAGAAAGGAAAAUCUGUGUGCAGAGGAGGGGAGUUUAUUUAAUUAAAGAGUGUUUGUGUCAUGUGUAUGGGAGGGUAUGUGUAUGUGUAGGGAGGGUAGAAACAACCGAAGCUCUCAGUACAAGCAAUAAGUAGGUGGACACUUGAUAGAGAUAUUUGGAGAGAAAAAACAGGUGAGGAUAAGGAUGUCAGAAAUGCAUCAGUAUCAGGAAGCACGUGAUUCUCAGCAGAGACAGAGCUCUUCCCACUUAAGGAAACAGGCUUCUUCUUCACAAUGAGAGCUUCAAAACGGAAAGGCACUUGCAUGCCAGCAUAUUUGCCCAGCUGUGCAGUAAUUGUCUUAAAUGUGAACUGAUGGAAGAAAAACAAACAAUGAGAGACUUUGUCCUCAACCCCAGACACUGACAAUGAAACCAUCCAAAGCAAAAAUGACAUUGAGAGUGAAAAUAAAACCUAGCCCAACCUGAAUGAGUGUUCUGUUUGUUUUUGAAAUGAGAUAUUCUAUCUCAAAAACUGUUGAGGCUUACUCUGGUGUCUCCAGGUUAAGGCUUGAAAUAAAA
rnacentral:lncRNA from 10 species